UUAAGCGACUAAGCGUACACGGUGGAUGCCCUGGCAGUCAGAGGCGAUGAAGGACGUGCUAAUCUGCGAAAAGCGCCGGCGAGGUGAUAUGAACCUUUGACCCGGCGAUGUCCGAAUGGGGAAACCCAGUGCAAUCCGUUGCACUAUCGUUAACUGAAUACAUAGGUUAACGAGGCGAACCGGGGGAACUGAAACAUCUAAGUACCCCGAGGAAAAGAAAUCAACCGAGAUUCCCCCAGUAGCGGCGAGCGAACGGGGAGCAGCCCGGAGUCUGAAUCAGCUUGUGUGUUAGUGGAACGGUCUGGAAAGUCCGACGGUACAGGGUGAUAGUCCCGUACACGAAAGCACACAUGCUGUGAACUCGAAGAGUAGGGCGGGACACGUGGUAUCCUGUCUGAAUAUGGGGGGACCAUCCUCCAAGGCUAAAUACUCCUGACUGACCGAUAGUGAACCAGUACCGUGAGGGAAAGGCGAAAAGAACCCCGGCGAGGGGAGUGAAAAAGAACCUGAAACCGUGUACGUACAAGCAGUGGGAGCCUCUUUAUGGGGUGACUGCGUACCUUUUGUAUAAUGGGUCAGCGACUUAUAUUCUGUAGCAAGGUUAACCGUAUAGGGGAGCCGAAGGGAAACCGAGUCUUAACUGGGCGUUAAGUUGCAGGGUAUAGACCCGAAACCCGGUGAUCUAGCCAUGGGCAGGUUGAAGGUUGGGUAACACUAACUGGAGGACCGAACCGACUAAUGUUGAAAAAUUAGCGGAUGACCUGUGGCUGGGGGUGAAAGGCCAAUCAAACCGGGAGAUAGCUGGUUCUCCCCGAAAGCUAUUUAGGUAGCGCCUCGUGAACUCAUCUUCGGGGGUAGAGCACUGUUUCGGCUAGGGGGCCAUCCCGGCUUACCAACCCGAUGCAAACUACGAAUACCGAAGAAUGUUAUCACGGGAGACACACGGCGGGUGCUAACGUCCGUCGUGAAGAGGGAAACAACCCAGACCGCCAGCUAAGGUCCCAAAGUCAUGGUUAAGUGGGAAACGAUGUGGGAAGGCACAGACAGCCAGGAUGUUGGCUUAGAAGCAGCCAUCAUUUAAAGAAAGCGUAAUAGCUCACUGGUCGAGUCGGCCUGCGCGGAAGAUGUAACGGGGCUAAACCAUGCACCGAAGCUGCGGCAGCGACACUAUGUGUUGUUGGGUAGGGGAGCGUUCUGUAAGCCGUUGAAGGUGUCCUGUGAGGGGUGCUGGAGGUAUCAGAAGUGCGAAUGCUGACAUAAGUAACGAUAAAGCGGGUGAAAAGCCCGCUCGCCGGAAGACCAAGGGUUCCUGUCCAACGUUAAUCGGGGCAGGGUGAGUCGACCCCUAAGGCGAGGCCGAAAGGCGUAGUCGAUGGGAAACAGGUUAAUAUUCCUGUACUUGGUGUUACUGCGAAGGGGGGACGGAGAAGGCUAUGUCAGCCGGGCGACGGUUGUCCCGGUUUAAGCAUGUAGGCGGAGGUUCCAGGUAAAUCCGGUACCUUAUUAACGCUGAGGUGUGAUGACGAGGCACUACGGUGCUGAAGUGAUAAAUGCCCUGCUUCCAGGAAAAGCCUCUAAGCAUCAGGUAACACGAAAUCGUACCCCAAACCGACACAGGUGGUCAGGUAGAGAAUACCAAGGCGCUUGAGAGAACUCGGGUGAAGGAACUAGGCAAAAUGGUGCCGUAACUUCGGGAGAAGGCACGCUGAUGUGUAGGUGAAGUCCCUGCGGACGGAGCUGAAAUCAGUCGAAGAUACCAGCUGGCUGCAACUGUUUAUUAAAAACACAGCACUGUGCAAACACGAAAGUGGACGUAUACGGUGUGACGCCUGCCCGGUGCCGGAAGGUUAAUUGAUGGGGUUAGCGGCAACGCGAAGCUCUUGAUCGAAGCCCCGGUAAACGGCGGCCGUAACUAUAACGGUCCUAAGGUAGCGAAAUUCCUUGUCGGGUAAGUUCCGACCUGCACGAAUGGCGUAAUGAUGGCCAGGCUGUCUCCACCCGAGACUCAGUGAAAUUGAACUCGCUGUGAAGAUGCAGUGUACCCGCGGCAAGACGGAAAGACCCCGUGAACCUUUACUAUAGCUUGACACUGAACACUGGUCCUUGAUGUGUAGGAUAGGUGGGAGGCUUUGAAGCGUGGACGCCAGUCUGCGUGGAGCCAACCUUGAAAUACCACCCUUUAAUGGCUGGUGUUCUAACGUAGACCCGUGAUCCGGGUUGCGGACAGUGUCUGGUGGGUAGUUUGACUGGGGCGGUCUCCUCCCAAAGAGUAACGGAGGAGCACGAAGGUUGGCUAAUCCUGGUCGGACAUCAGGAGGUUAGUGCAAUGGCAUAAGCCAGCUUGACUGCGAGCGUGACGGCGCGAGCAGGUGCGAAAGCAGGUCAUAGUGAUCCGGUGGUUCUGAAUGGAAGGGCCAUCGCUCAACGGAUAAAAGGUACUCCGGGGAUAACAGGCUGAUACCGCCCAAGAGUUCAUAUCGACGGCGGUGUUUGGCACCUCGAUGUCGGCUCAUCACAUCCUGGGGCUGAAGUAGGUCCCAAGGGUAUGGCUGUUCGCCAUUUAAAGUGGUACGCGAGCUGGGUUUAGAACGUCGUGAGACAGUUCGGUCCCUAUCUGCCGUGGGCGCUGGAGAAUUGAGGGGGGCUGCUCCUAGUACGAGAGGACCGGAGUGGACGCAUCACUGGUGUUCGGGUUGUCAUGCCAAUGGCACUGCCCGGUAGCUAAAUGCGGAAAAGAUAAGUGCUGAAAGCAUCUAAGCACGAAACUUGCCCCGAGAUGAGUUCUCCCUGAGACCUUGAGUCUCCUGAAGGAACGUUGAAGACGACGACGUUGAUAGGUCGGGUGUGUAAGCGCAGCGAUGCGUUGAGCUAACCGAUACUAAUGAACCGUGAGGCUUAACCUU
rnacentral:rRNA from 2 species